CAUUAAGGGACAAGGGACAAGGGAAUUUAGAGUCGAUGUCUUGUGAUGCGGUGAAAAUAUCCCGAAUCUUGACCGGGAGGCCUGGGUUCAAUUCACAGCGAGUGCAGGAUGAGGCUGUCACUGGCUCGGCCAGCAUUUAUUGCUGCGUUUACCCAGAGGGCAGUUAAGAAUCAACCACGUUGCUAUAGGUCUGGAGUCCCAUGCAGACCAGACCAGAUCCCAGUGAUCAGUGCCAAAGCCCCAUUGCCUGUGGAGAGGGUGAUGUUUGAUUUCCCUGUCCAGCUGCAAUUCGUGUG